rnacentral:rRNA from 1 species
AGAGUUUGAUCAUGGCUCAGAGCGAACGCUGGCGGAAUGCUUAACACAUGCAAGUCGCACGGGGGCUUCGGCCUUAGUGGCGGACGGGUGAGUAACGCGUAGGAAUGUGUCCGAGGGUGGGGGAUAACGUUGGGAAACUGACGCUAAUACCGCAUAUCCCCUGAGGGGGAAAGCAGUGAUGCGCCCACGGAGCAGCCUGCGUCCGAUUAGCUAGUUGGUUAGGUAAAGGCUGACCAAGGCGACGAUCGGUAGCUGGUCUGAGAGGAUGAUCAGCCACACUGGAACUGAGACACGGUCCAGACUCCUACGGGAGGCAGCAGUGGGGAAUAUUGGACAAUGGGCGCAAGCCUGAUCAGCCAUGCCGCGUGUGUGAAGAAGGCCUUCGGGUUGUAAAGCACUUUUGUCCGGAAAGAAAUCUUGUAGCUUAAUACGCUGCAAGGAUGACGGUACCGGAAGAAUAAGCACCGGCUAACUUCGUGCCAGCAGCCGCGGUAAUAC